AGAGAUUGACGUUGAGGGGAAAUUAAUAUGCUGAAUCUCCCCUCAGUAAACGCAUUUAUCAUAGUGUUUACUAUUACAAUGACUUCGUUAUUACUGUAAAAACGUAUAUUUAUAGUUAUGUGUGAUGUAAAUACUGUAAAAUAGUGUCAACUGAUAUAUUAUCUGCAUGGCUAACGGCUACUGUUAGCGCUCUCAUCUAGUCUGCCUGCUUUGCUGCACACUCGUUGUGCAAAGAGGAAGAGAAGAGGGUGGAGAGAAAGAGAGCGCGCGCGCUUCAAAAAGCAGGUUCAGGAACAAUGGACCCAGAGCGGAUAUCCUCCAUGUGGACAGGUGUGGUGAGAAAAACCCUAUACCCUCUUUCCUCUCUUCCUCUUUCCUUGUCUAUCUCUUUCUCCCCUUUUGUAUCUCUUAAUCUCUCAGUGCCUUGUUUAUUCAUGUCACAUCUCCAAAUAGUUCUUUACUGCACCACCUCUUCCCAAUCUCUCGCUCAUUCUCUCUGUUUUACUGCAUGAUUCUGAUCUCUGAUCAGCUGUCUACCGUUCAGCUCCACUUCAUCUCUUCUCGCUGAUCUGUCUCUAUGCUUUAAAUACUCCACUUGCAGACAGAGUCAUACAAAGUGGAUGGACAUCAUUGUCUGAAGCUUAGGGGUGACUGUAAAGUCAGACAGGUGGGAUGUAAACCGAUAUUAGAGCCGCUUUAACUGCUCUUAACAGUUUCUUAUCACUUGGUGUUUUAACGUGGGUGAGUAAACACAAUCAAGGAGUGUGUGUAGGUUUCGCAUCUAUACUUUUAGGGAAACUUUUUUGGUGCUUAUUUAAUUGUUUUAAAGUCUUAAAAAGCCUAAUUGCUUUUAUUUGCAGCUAGAAAGUUUUUCAGUAGUUUAUCAAACAGUUUAGUGGCCCAAACUCUCUUGAGAUAAAAAGAACUACACUAAAUUGUGACCUGAUUAUAGACCUUAACAGACUUGGAGUUUUAAAGGCUACUGUUUUUAUUUAACACACAUUUUUUUUUAAACUUGUGUAGCGGGUCCCAACUAGGUCCCCACUGACAGAUAUAUAGAUAAUCCUCUGAUAGGAGUGCCCUGGAAAUAUCAGAAAUAUUACAGGGAAAUCAGUAACACAGGACAACUGUUGCUCUUUCUCCAUUAACUUGGAUUAUGAGCUCGUCUUGCUCUG